UGAACGGUGAAUACUUGCUUGAGGUGUGGCU
rnacentral:piRNA from 1 species